UCCAGACUCCUACGGGAGGCAGCAGUGGGGAAUAUUGGGCAAUGGAGGCAACUCUUACCCAGCAAUGCCGCGUGAAUGAAGAAGGUCUUCGGAUUGUAAAGUUCUUUAAUUGGGGACGAAAAAAAUGACGGUACCCAAGGAAUAAGCCCCGGCUAACUACGUGCCAGCAGCCGCGGUAAUACGUAGGGGGCAAGCGUUAUCCGGAUUUACUGGGUGUAAAGGGAGCGUAGACGGCAUGGCAAGUCUGAUGUGAAAACCCGGGGCUCAACCCCGGGACUGCAUUGGAAACUGUCAGGCUAGAGUGUCGGAGAGGCAAGUGGAAUUCCUAGUGUAGCGGUGAAAUGCGUAGAUAUUAGGAGGAACACCAGUGGCGAAGGCGGCUUGCUGGACGAUGACUGACGUUGAGGCUCGAAAGCGUGGGGAGCAAACAGGAUUAGAUACCCCGGUAAAU
rnacentral:rRNA from 1 species